CUUUGGAUCGAGCAAUGAGACACUCACACAAAAAUUUCAUAAAGCGUGAGACGCUAUUCCUAGCAUGGCGUUGCUUAAGCUUAGUUUCAUUAUCACUAUUCUUAUCAUGACAACCAUUGUCAAUGUGCCCUGGUUCUUGACGAAACAACAAGUUAUAGCUACACCGGAUGUUGAUCAUGUGCUCUCAGGACUCAAGAGAAGAGUGCUCCCACAGCUUAAUACUUGUCUUAGACCUUGUACGUCGGACAGCGAUUGCAGUGAUUGUUGGACUUGUUGUACUUGUUCGCACAGCAUCUUUGAUUGGGAGCGCCUUUACUACUUUUGUGCGUAGGCGAUUCAGUGUCCACACAUUACUAUUAUGCAUUAGUGUGCCGUCGUGUGAUUUCAGUGUUUGUUCGUUUUUUCUUAUUUCCUCGUUUUUAUACUUUGUAAAAGCAAUAAAAUAAAGUCGUGAAUGACUUUCUAUUCAGAAAUAGUAAUUGAUUAUGCUCCAAAAGAUGGUUGGAUUUGCUUUGUAGUUGUUGUAUCACUCAUCAUGCAUUUUCUAAAGUAGUUAGUUUUAAGUUGAUCACA